AAUACAAAAAAUUUAUUCAAUUCAAUUCCCAUUUAAAAUCAACAAUCAGAUCACUGUUUUCCGAAUUCUCCACUAAAAAAUCUGCAAAAUCCCCACAAUCUUGGAGGUCCUAAUUGGGUAAUAAAACUAUCUGAGGACACCAUUGAAACUUCAAGAAUCAUUUUUUCAGGUCACUUAAUUUCAUCUCCCAGUUUGAGUCACCCCCAGCGCGCGCCUGAUCAUUCAUAGUGGUGCAAGAUCUAAAUUGUGCAGGACUAUUCCACGGCAUCUCUCCUCUCUAGCAUUAGCACUACAGUGGUAAAACAGAAUUAGGGCUGAGCACCAGGGGUGUAUCAGUCCAUAGACAACUUCAAACUAUCAAGUUAUACAAGUGUGGUGUUCCUCAGUGCAUCGUGCACCAGAAAAACAGUGUGCAAAAGCGCUUUGGAUUUCUAUCAAAAUGCAUGCAAUCAUCACCCAGGAAGCUCUUCCUAUUUUUAUACAAACAAAGAAAUAAUUGUAAGCCCCAGUAGACAUGCCAUUAUGAUGUUUGCUAUUUUAAGAGGUGUUAUUCAGCAGCUAAAAUUUAUUUAAUAUUCUCGAAGAUCUACUUCUUUCAAUUUCCAAGGCCAUGCUUGUAUAAUAGUUUGUUUGAGUGGCAUACACAUAAAUUGUGUCAGUUAAGGGGUCGUUUGGUUUGAAUAUAAAUUAUGAUGGGGUUAGUUA